rnacentral:lncRNA from 1 species
GUUGUUACAUUUUUGCUGAUAAGCUCUUUCUUUUCUUUUCUCUUUAAUAAUAGUUCUAGGUUUUUGCUAGUUCUAGGUUUGAUUUCCAAAUGAUUGUUCACCGUGAUCUCAGCCAGAGGUAACUAGCUCCUAAAUAUUUGGUCUAAAUAUUUGCUGCUCAGAUAUUCACACUACACCAAAUAUUGCUUCAGAAUGGGGCUCACCUAAGUAUGCAACUCCUUAUAUGAGUGGGUGUCCUCAUGUGUUAUGCAGUUUUGUGAGGUGAAUCCCGUCAAAACUGGUNCUACUCUAUAACAAUGUUUAGCCACACCCUUCUUGAGAAGUUAAUUUCACAUUUUUAUGCACAAUUAUUGCUUACCGGUUUGUCUUCUCUGAUACUGCAGCACUCGGGUUUUUGCUUUUUGCUUUAGAUUUUUUUAGGUUCUGAUUUGUUCUAUGAAGAAUUGUGUAGGUUAUUUAGUUUUCAAUUUUUCAGAUGUCUUAGGAUCCCUUUAGAUAGUUUUUUUAGGAUUCUUUUAGAUUGUUUCUGUAAAUAGAACUAAUUGUAGUUCUCUUUCAAUUCUUUGAUUUUGUUUCUCUGUUUAGNUUUUCUUUUAUUAGAUUCAUUCUGAUUAGUAAUUGUCCUAGGUGCUUUUAGAUUCUAGCUUCUUUUUAGCUUUUUAAAUAGAAAUUUCUUUAGGUUCUUUCCUUUCUAGGUUUUGUUGAAAUUUCCAUUAGAAGUAAUUAGGUUUCCAUUAGGAAGUAAUUAGGUUUAUUUCGUUCAUAGCUUUA